rnacentral:lncRNA from 1 species
GGGGGGGGGCUGGGGGGGGAUUGGGGCACUGGGAGGGGGAACUGGGAGCGCUGGGAGCGAUGGGGCGGGAACUGGGAGCAGGAACUGGGAGCGCUGGGUGCGCUGAGGGGCGCUAUGGGGCAGAAUGGGGGCGCUAUGGGGCAGCUGACCCCCCCCCCUUCCCCAGACCCCCCCCAGGAUGACGUCGCCGUGGGGCUGAGCCGUGGGGCGGAGCUGUGGGGCCCCCAAUGUUCCCACGGGCGCUGCGGGCGCUGCUGGAGGGGGCGCGGACCCCCCCGGGCCGGGAGGAGGGGUGGUGCUGAGCUCCUAUAGGGCCAAUCCCCCCGAGUCCGACCCACAGCAGGUGAGUGAGUGGGGCCAGGGGGCUCUGGGGGGUCAGUGGGAACACGUGAGGGGCAGUGGGUGCCACUGCCAUGGGGUGACACCGCUGGGAUGACUCUGUGGGGUGACCCCACGAGGCGAUCCCAUGAGAUGACCCCGUAGGAUAACCUUUGGGGUGACCCCCAAAGGAUGGCCCUAUAGUUUCACCCUGAGUUGAUCCCAUGGGAUAACCCUAUGAGGUCACAAGAAGACCCCGUGGGAUGACCCCAAGAGAUGACCCACUGGGAUGACCCUAUGGGAUGACCCUAUGGGGUGACCUCAUGGGUUGACCCCAAGAGAUGACCCAUUGGGAUGACCCUAUGGGGCGACCUCAUGGGUUGACUCCAAGAGAUGACCCUAUGGGGUGACCUCACAGGUUGACCCCACGAGAUGACCCCUUGGGAUGACCCUAUGGGGUGACCUCACGGGUUGACCCCAAGAGAUGACCCCAAAGAUGGAUGAGCCAUUGGGACGCCCCCAUGAGGUGACCCCACGAUGUGACCCCCACCCCAUAACAGACGGAGCUCCGCGAAGCCGACGCGCUCUUCUCGGCCGCCCCACAGCGCUAUGGGGCGCCCCACGGCCGUCUGCUGCGCGCCGCCCCACUGCCGC